rnacentral:rRNA from 1 species
AGGCUGCAACUCGCCUGCGUGAAGUUGGAAUUGCUAGUAAUCGCGGAUCAGCAUGCCGCGGUGAAUACGUUCCCGGGCCUUGUACACACCGCCCGUCACACCAUGGGAGGUUGGAAAUGCCCGAAGCCGGUGGCCUAACCGAUAAGGGAGGAGCCGUCGAAGGCAGGUCUGAUGACUGGGGUGAAGUCGUAACAAGGUAAC